UCGCCUGUUUAUCAAAAACAUGUCCUCUAAGAAUAUAAUUCGAGGUCUGACCUGCCCACUGAGAUUGUUCUUGAAGGGCCGCGGUAUUUUGACCGUGCAAAGGUAGCAUAAUCAUUAGUCUUUUAAUUGAAGGCUGGAAUGAAGGGUUGGACGAGGUAUUGACUGUCUCAAUGUAAAUGUAAUUAGAAUUUAACUUUUAAGUCAAAAGGCUUAAAUUUGUUUAAAGGACGAGAAGACCCUAUAGAGCUUUAUAUUUUAAGUUUUAUUUAAAUUUAGUUGUUUGGUUAUAUUAAAGUGAAUAAAUAUUUUGUUGGGGUGAUAGGAAGAUAAAUAAAACUCUUUUUAGUGUUAAUCAUUGAUUUAUGAUUUAUUGAUCCAGUAUUAUUGAUUAUAAGACUAAGUUACCUUAGGGAUAACAGCGUAAUCUUCUUUGAGAGUUCUAAUCGACAAGGAGGGUUGCGACCUCGAUGUUGGAUUAAGGUAAAUUUUAGGUGUAGAUGUUUAAAGUUUAAGUCUGUUCGACUUUUAAAUCCUUACAUGAUCUGAGUUCAAACCGGAGA
rnacentral:rRNA from 1 species